AGGAGUUGAUGUUAUCUAUUCAGCAUGAGCACCCUGGGAUUUGAAUUCAAGUUAACACGCUUGGCAGCAAGUACCAUCUUACCAGCUCGUCUUAUGUGGAUGUGAUUCAUCUUGUUCUUUCCUGUUGUCCCUCUUCCAGGAGACAUUAAUCACGAUGCAUGAAUUGUGAAAAGCAAUAGUUAUAUUCACCUGAGACUAUGUGAUCUUGCAUCUGACCCAUUGGAGAGGAUCAUCCUUAGGAAGUAUACCCUAUUUCUUUUUGUGAAAAAGAGAAGAGAAAAAGAAGAAUGAACAAAUAAAGAGAUUGGCUUGAGUCAACCCAGUGUUGUGUAGGCCAUAUGCCAAAUGCAGAGCUGCCUGGUCUCAGCAGGGUGGCUUUCCUUCAUCCUGGUACAGGGAAGAGUAUUGGAGGUGCAGACAAGUGCCAACUAUUUGAAACACUGCCAAGAGCCUAGAAGAAUUUUGAAGACACAGAAAGAGUGGCCACAUCUUCCUACCACAACUCACUUCAAGUCCUUCAUCUGCUCUGUGAGGAAGUAAUUGUCAGUCUCUUUCUUAAGGCCUCAGGUUCCUCUGAGUGUGGUAUUCAAAUGAUCUCAACACAUUCUCUAGGUGGAAUUCUGGGCUAGGUCUAUCUGUCUGCCCGUCUGUCUCUCUGUCUCUGCCUGUUUGUCUGUUCAUCCCUCUCCCUCCACCCCUUGUGUGUGU